rnacentral:rRNA from 1 species
GAACGCUAGCUACAGGCUUAACACAUGCAAGUCGAGGGGCAGCAUGGUCUUAGCUUGCUAAGGCCGAUGGCGACCGGCGCACGGGUGAGUAACACGUAUCCAACCUGCCGUCUACUCUUGGACAGCCUCCUGAAAGGAAGAUUAAUACAAGAUGGCAUCAUGAGUCCACAUGUUCACAUGAUUAAAGGUAUUCCGGUAGACGAUGGGGAUGCGUUCCAUUAGAUAGUAGGCGGGGUAACGGCCCACCUAGUCUUCGAUGGAUAGGGGUUCUGAGAGGAAGGUCCCCCACAUUGGAACUGAGACACGGUCCAAACUCCUACGGGGGGCAGCAGUGAGGAAUAUUGGUCAAUGGGCGAGAGCCUGAACCAGCCAAGUAGCGUGAAGGAUGACUGCCCUAUGGGUUGUAAACUUCUUUUAUAAAGGAAUAAAGUCGGGUAUGCAUACCCGUUUGCAUGUACUUUAUGAAUAAGGAUCGGCUAACUCCGUGCCAGCAGCCGCGGUAAUACGGAGGAUCCGAGCGUUAUCCGGAUUUAUUGGGUUUAAAGGGAGCGUAGAUGGAUGUUUAAGUCAGUUGUGAAAGUUUGCGGCUCAACCGUAAAAUUGCAGUUGAUACUGGAUAUCUUGAGUGCAGUUGAGGCAGGCGGAAUUCGUGGUGUAGCGGUGAAAUGCUUAGAUAUCACGAAGAACUCCGAUUGCGAAGGCAGCCUGCUAAGCUGCAACUGACAUUGAGGCUCGAAAGUGUGGGUAUCAAACAGGAUUAGAUACCCUGGUAGUCCACACGGUAAACGAUGAAUACUCGCUGUUUGCGAUAUACAGCAAGCGGCCAAGCGAAAGCGUUAAGUAUUCCACCUGGGGAGUACGCCGGCAACGGUGAAACUCAAAGGAAUUGACGGGGGCCCGCACAAGCGGAGGAACAUGUGGUUUAAUUCGAUGAUACGCGAGGAACCUUACCCGGGCUUAAAUUGCAGAUGAAUUACGGUGAAAGCCGUAAGCCGCGAGGCAUCUGUGAAGGUGCUGCAUGGUUGUCGUCAGCUCGUGCCGUGAGGUGUCGGCUUAAGUGCCAUAACGAGCGCAACCCUUGUUGUCAGUUACUAACAGGUCAUGCUGAGGACUCUGACAAGACUGCCAUCGUAAGAUGUGAGGAAGGUGGGGAUGACGUCAAAUCAGCACGGCCCUUACGUCCGGGGCUACACACGUGUUACAAUGGGGGGUACAGAGGGCCGCUACCACGCGAGUGGAUGCCAAUCCCAAAAACCUCUCUCAGUUCGGACUGGAGUCUGCAACCCGACUCCACGAAGCUGGAUUCGCUAGUAAUCGCGCAUCAGCCACGGCGCGGUGAAUACGUUCCCGGGCCUUGUACACACCGCCCGUCAAGCCAUGGGAGCCGGGGGUACCUGAAGUGCGUAACCGCGAGGAGCGCCCUAGGGUAAAACUGGUGACUG